AGUGAACGCUGGCGGUAGGCCUAACACAUGCAAGUCGAACGGCAGCACAGUAAGAGCUUGCUCUUACGGGUGGCGAGUGGCGGACGGGUGAGGAAUACAUCGGAAUCUACUUUUUCGUGGGGGAUAACGUAGGGAAACUUACGCUAAUACCGCAUACGACCUACGGGUGAAAGCAGGGGAUCUUCGGACCUUGCGCGAUUGAAUGAGCCGAUGUCGGAUUAGCUAGUUGGCGGGGUAAAGGCCCACCAAGGCGACGAUCCGUAGCUGGUCUGAGGGGAUGAUCAGCCACACUGGAACUGAGACACGGUCCAGACUCCUACGGGAGGCAGCAGUGGGGAAUAUUGGACAAUGGGCGCAAGCCUGAUCCAGCCAUACCGCGUGGGUGAAGAAGGCCUUCGGGUUGUAAAGCCCUUUUGUUGGGGAAGAAAAGCAGCAGGUUAAUACCCCGCUGUUCUGACGGUACCCAAAGAAUAAGCACCGGCUAACUUCGUG
rnacentral:rRNA from 1 species